GACGAACGCUGGCGGCGUGCUUAACACAUGCAAGUCGAACGGAGCUUGAUUACGGAUUCUUCGGAUGAAGUAUGAUAUGACUGAGUGGCGGACGGGUGAGUAACGCGUGAGUAACCUGCCCUUCAGAGGGGGAUAGCGUUUGGAAACGAACGGUAAUACCGCAUAAUGUAUUUUGACCGCAUGAUCGAAAUACCAAAGAUUUAUCGCUGAAGGAUGGACUCGCGUCUGAUUAGGUAGUUGGUGGGGUAACGGCCUACCAAGCCGACGAUCAGUAGCCGGACUGAGAGGUUGAUCGGCCACAUUGGGACUGAGACACGGCCCAGACUCCUACGGGAGGCAGCAGUGGGGAAUAUUGCACAAUGGGCGCAAGCCUGAUGCAGCAACGCCGCGUGAAGGAAGACGGUUUUCGGAUUGUAAACUUCUGUUCUUAGUGAAGAAUAAUGACGGUAGCUAAGGAGCAAGCCACGGCUAACUACGUG
rnacentral:rRNA from 1 species